GUCCGAGUAGUUUAUUCAUAAAACGUUAGUUUGUGGAGCUAAAAAAAUAAAAUCUUAUCUCGAACC
rnacentral:tRNA from 1 species